UUGAGCUGUAUGAAGGGAAACUUCCACGUACAGUUUGUUUUGGGGGGGGGGGAAGGAGCCCAACAGGGUCACCCCACUGACUUGGCCCGGGCCUAAGUGAAAGUGCAAAAGUGAAGUGGUGGGCCUACCCAUCCCAAC
rnacentral:ncRNA from 1 species